rnacentral:lncRNA from 1 species
AUAAAAUUCAUUUUAACGGUCAACAAUUCUCCCUGCUUAGGCCUAUUUAUUUUUAAAAUGAUUUUCAUUAAUUAUGGAUGCUUUUGCCACCUGAUUUUAAUUUGCCAUAAUGCAAAACAUUCAAGAUUUGCUGAAAGUUCAUUCCUUCAGGAGCUAAAUCUAUAUUAAGAUUUAUUUAUGUGGUGGUUACUAAUUCUAAUUAAACUCAAGGAAACUUCAUUAAUCAUUUAUAAUAAGGAAUUUCUGUAAUAAGGAAUCAGAAGUAAACAAGUAUUACUUGCAGAGUCUCCUUUUAAAAAAAAAUUAAAGAAGAAGCAAACAAGUAGAAAAACAUCUAACUAACUAAAUGUUUAAACUUAAAAUUAGGCAUGCAUGUCUUACUACCUAAAAGGUGGUGUUGCCAGAUUUACUUCUUAUGAGUAAACUAUGGUUUUUGGCUAUUUGAUACGUUCAUGAUUCCUUGUAUAUGGCCCGUAUUUUUAUCAUCGUUCAUCCAGUAACCUCAAACAUCAGAUGUUGAAACAUUCCUCUUUUGUGUGUGCUUUGUGGAAUUGUUUUAUAUUAAGAAAAUAAAAAUAUUUUAUUUUCCUAUAUUAGAAACUUUUACAAAAGGUUAAAAUGAUAGACAAAUGGCAGUCUACCAUCUUUGCUGCCUAAGAGAUUCUGUGGUGCCAUUCCUUCCAAAAUAGAAGCCAGAAGGAAGAGAAAUUUUCAUCUAUAUGUGAUACAUUAUAUGUUAUUCCUUUAUGAGAAAAACUUGCUUAAAUACCCCUACUGCAUAUGAUUAGGCUUUUGACAAGAGAUGAUUGUAUAUAUGGAAUACAUGUAAUUCAUAAAACUCCAAAUUCUUAUUCUGUUAUUGGAUACAUUUAGCUUUCUCAGAAAAAACAAAUAAUUGCUACAUUUGGGAAAACAACACCUGUAGUCUAAAAAACAAAACAAAGCUUUCCUCUUCUCACCUCCAUGAUCCACCACAUUUGAAUUUAUAAAACAGAUCAGUUGAUUCUAUAAAAAUGUUCACCAAAACACACCUCCUCCAUUCUUUUCAAACUAGAUUUAAGGUCAUAAAAUAGAUUUAAUGAUUGCAGCUGAUAAAUUGUUUAUUUUGGAAGUAUUACUUUACAUGGAAAUGUCUAGCUGUGCCUAGAAAAAGUUAAUUUAGUUCCUCAUAUGAAUCUUCAUGGUCAGCAUACAUUCAUGGGGAACUUGUUUUAUUUUAUACAUUGU